GAUGAACGCUGGCGGCGUGCUUAACACAUGCAAGUCGAACGAUGAAGCCGGAGCUUGCUCUGGUGGAUUAGUGGCGAACGGGUGAGUAACACGUGAGUAACCUGCCCUUGACUCUGGGAUAAGCGCUGGAAACGGCGUCUAAUACCGGAUACGAGCUUCCACCGCAUGGUGAGUUGCUGGAAAGAAUUUCGGUCAAGGAUGGACUCGCGGCCUAUCAGCUUGUUGGUGAGGUAACGGCUCACCAAGGCGACGACGGGUAGCCGGCCUGAGAGGGUGACCGGCCACACUGGGACUGAGACACGGCCCAGACUCCUACGGGGGGCAGCAGUGGGGAAUAUUGCACAAUGGGCGCAAGCCUGAUGCAGCAACGCCGCGUGAGGGACGAAGGCCUUCGGGUCGUAAACCUCUUUUAGCAGGGAAGAAGCGAAAGUGACGGUACCUGCAGAAAAAGCACCAGCUAACUACGUGCCAGCCGCCGCAGUAA
rnacentral:rRNA from 1 species